UGAACUUGUCGUCAGCUGUCAAACAAAAGGUUGUGGACUGUAUUUUCUUAUUGCACUUGCAUAAUAUUUUUUUAUUUACGGUUUGUAAACAGAGCGUUGUUUAUUUAUUAAGAGGCCCUUGCCCUGUGUCUGCUGUGAAUUUCAUGAAAGAUAUUCGGAUCUUUAACUGACUCAAAUGCAAUAUAUUCCGUAAUCUCGAUCAAAAUGUUGAAAAAGUACAACGUGCGCCGUUUAAAAAACGAAUCCUUCUUGGAUUCCCUCCUGAAUAUAUGUAUCAAAUACAUUAGUGCUAAUUUAUGCGCAUAUAAAAAUAGUGGGUACUUGGAAUUGUUUCCAAUCCACAUUAAAGAUCGAAUAAUAAUUUACGUUACCCGAAUUCUAAAAGGAUUUCACGAUGACGAUUUACUCGAAACACUUCUUCAUGAAAAUCUUAUAAAUAUAGAUUUAUCUGGUUCUACAAUUAGUGAUAGGACCCUAAAAUCAUUAGCAACAUAUUGCCCGAAUCUUAAGAAAAUCGUGAUGAGUCGAGCACGAUAUCUAUUCAGCGAACAAGUACUGAUCUCAACGAUACCGACAUUUACAAAUCUGAAUAAUUUCCAAUUGAACAAUUGUAAGGAAGUCACUGAUGAAUUCUUGCGGGAACUUGCUUUAAAAUGCCCAAACUUGGAUCUCCUAGACUUAAGCGGAUGCAAACAGAUUACGGAUGAAUCUGCUAGUUCCUUAGAUACUCUGAAAUUAACAAAACUCAAUGUUUCAAAUACAAGUAUAACUGAUCAAUUCCUUGCCAAACUUGGCCUAUCUCCAGUGAGCAACUAUAUCGAGGAUAUAAAUUUAAGUCAAUGCAAUAUAACCACGAACGGACUACGGAAUCUUCGUUGGGAUAAGCUAAAAUAUGUUGGAUUCGAAGGUUGUUGGAUUGACGGUAAGACUGGAAAACUAUCUGGUUAUGUGGUACCAAUAAGCAUAAGAACUAAUCUAUUCAUUGAGUAACGAUUGUUAUAGCCUUUCUAUCUAUUUCAUAUGUAUAUUUCUGUUAUUCUGGAUUUUAGAAAAAAACCCUAUUAUAUAUAUUUGUUACUAAAUCUUUAAUAUAAUUUAUUAUGGAGUUAUGGGUAUCUAGUUGUGCUUUAAAAGAUACUAACAUUAUAUACUACUACGACUAACAGUACAGGAAUCAGGUGGCAUUAUGCUUCGAUUAGUAACGUUAUCUUGUAAGGAGUUAUCAUAAAAUGAACAGAAUAUUGAAGGUUGUUGAAAUAUCGUCCAUUUAGAAAAAAGUUGAAGUUUUUUAGAGAAUUAUUGCAAUUGGGACGUAUACGAAUUUAUUUUAAAAUAUUUAUUAUUAUUAGAAAUUUACAUGAAAAUCAUAUCUUAACAGUAAACAGACGGAUAAGUUAGUGAAUGAUCUCGAAUUCCUAAACAGCAAAAAACAAUUGAAAUUUAUCCAAUGGACGAUCAGUAAAUAAAAAGACGUAUCAGUGGUUUUUCAAGUAUUUUCUUAAGAUUUACGUUUUUAUUUUAUACUUUCUCGAAAAUCAAAUCGAUAAUGUUCAUAUAAUAUUGGAAUUUUCUUAAUAUUGUUUUAUUAAAAAACGAAAUAAACAAACUUUGAAUCAUAGAUAAUAAUAAACUAAUAUUAUUUUAAA